CUUCCUUCCUUCCUUCCUUCCUUCCUUCCUUCCUUCUUUCCUCCCUCCAUUUUGCCAUUUAGCAGACAUUUACAUAGUUUACUGUGUACCAGGCACAUUGCUAGGUGCUAGAGAUGGAGUAUCGUCCUCAUGGAGCUUACUAGCAAAAAACUAACCAACUCACUAGUAAACUAACAAGUAACUCUAGUGUAGUUAGUGCUAUAACAGUUUUGAGGGGUAGAAGUAGAGAUGGAAACUAAGUUAGGCUGGCUCCCUAGGGAAAGAGGUAUCUUAAAGGAUGAAUCCAGAAAGGAUUCUGGAGCAGGCCAACCACCCUCGCAUUCCUCACCCUCAGAUAUUCAGGACUUCCUUCUCCACACAGGGCCUCUUCCUACUCAGCCCCUAAGAUUUUCCUGUUCUCCAAGAAAAGGGAAGAAUAAGAAAUCUACAGGACUGAUGGUGAUUCCAGAAUGUUCUGGAUGGCUGUCCCCUGCCUGAUCGCUCCUGCCUCUGGCUGCUCCAAGGGCAGAAUUUCACCUCUCGAGGCUGCAACUGCUUCUUCUCACAGAACUUCCUUAUUAAAUGGGGAACGAGCACAUGUGAAAGGCACAUUCACAUCUAGUUGACUCUUUCUCUAUGAUGAAAAUAGAGAAAUUGAAAAAAUAUUUUAAAAGUGACAUCUUCGAAGUAAACUGGGAACGACUGUUCAAAAUGCUGUGUGCCAAGAAUAAGUGCGGGGAGAUUUCCACACCUGGGAAAUUUGUUUUCAGCUUUCCAGCCACCCUGGAAUAGGUCGGGAUGGUGCAGGCCGAUCAUCAUGUGAGGCACGGAGAAGUUGAAGGCGAGUUCACCCUUCAGUGCGGACUAAGCAGCCAGCAUGUCCCUGUUCUGUGGUGUGGAUCGCUCGCCAAGCAAAACAUGGGGCUGUAUGCCUAGGCAAUAUUGAAUAACCCUGCUUGGAUCCAAAAAGACGGUGCAAAGGAUAUUAACUUCUCAAAACUCGGAGUCAUUUCCAAGGAUAGCCAAAAGAAAGAACCAACAAUCUGCAAAUUCCAAGCCAGCAGAAAGCCAAGUCCAGUUAUGCAAACAAGAAGGCAAUAACUAUUGUUGGGAGAGAAAGAAUAAACAAUGGGUCUGGAUUUGCAAAGGGAGGGAUGUGACAUUUUAUUUUCCUCUCUAGACUGGGUGCUCCAGACAGAAACUCAGAAGAAUUGAUUCUGGUAAGCAUUUUUACCUUUGGCUGGCCUUUGCCAGUUUUUCCAGGAUCCCCUCUGCAAGAUCUGGUAUCUACCAGCAUUUCCCCUUGGCUGUUUAAAGGAAUAAUAUAGCAGUUUACCAGGAAAUCCUUCAGUUUGGACAACACUAGAAGGGGUUCAAAUGAGGCCUCCCUUGAAGGUAGAUAUGGGGGUGUCUGUAAAGCCAUGAACUUGGCAGAUUUUUGUUUAUGGUUGUGUAGUCUUUUCAGAGUGGAAAAACAAAUCAGACAAUGAAUACUUGAAGGAAGGAAGAGGGGAGCAGUCUUUUCCCUUAUGUGCCUUUUAUAUCUUUACUUUUUCUUUAGCCUUUUGCAAUGAAUCUUUCAAUAAAACUGCUUUGGAAUUUUGAA